UACUAGUGCACCACCCACCCCCUUUAACGCGGCAACGUGCAUACUCGCUCCUUCAAGAACACCUGAAAUCUCAAAAACAUGGCCUGCAAUUAUCUUACCCAAUCCCAUUGCUUCUUUCUUUUUUCCUAGUAAUAAUUAUCCUUCUCAAUGAUCAAGCUUUACCUUACAAGUUUUAUAUAAAGCAAAAAAAAAGGCUAAAUACAGAAAACUUAUUAAAAAGACUAACUUACCCUUUUUAAAAUUUAACCCACCUAAAACAAAUUACCAACCCUCACCCACACCCUCACCCUCAUCCUCACGCAAAACAAAUUUACUUCCUCGUCUUUUAAAGUCGAAACUUGAGAAAACGCCAUUGACGAUCAAAAUUCGAAGCUCCAAUUCCAGAAUGAUUGACAUUGGCUGUUUUAAUACUCCUCCUCACCUGUGAAUCUGCAGCAGCGUUCGCGAGACGACAGUGGUGCCGCGCCGACACACGCGACGACCCACCCUCCUCUUCGUGCGAUGCAACGACCACCAUCAUCUACCACAUAAGGAAAAUAAUUGAGAGAAGAAAUGAAGGGAAAGGAAGUAGAGAAGAAGAAGAAGGAAGCUGGAGCUAGAAUGGCAUUCCGAUAACCAGAGCACGACGCCGAUUCGGGUCGCCAGAACUCCAGUGUCGUUGGUGGGUUCGUUUGGGUCAGCAUUUUCUCUCUCUAUAUUUCCUUUUCUUUUUUUUUGCUGAACAGAUUCGAAUUUGCGAGAAAUUCAGAGUAUAUGUAUGGCUGUAGAGAAAAAGAAUGGUAGUGUGUGUCAAUGUAUGGAGAAUUUUGGCGGUUUGUACUGUUGAUGGGUUGUUUACAUA